rnacentral:lncRNA from 1 species
AACAAACCAAGCUGAUCCACCUAACUCUACUCAGGAAAAGUAGAGGUAUCUUCAGUGCCUGCAUUGCGUAGGGAUACAUUUCCUAGAGAUGGUUAGUAGGGUGAACUCUAUCAUAUAAUUCGGGUAUAAGGAUAACAUAAUGUCAUUAGAAUAGUUCAAAACCAUUCAAAACCAAUGCACAUAAUCAAAUGCAUAUACAUAGAUAUAUAUAUAUAUAUAUGUAUAUCAUAUGCCAGGAUAGGGAACAAGGCUUAACAUGCACUUUAAAAUUUAGCCUAGAUUGUAUAGCUCAAUCAUCAUAACAUAAAAAGGCACUCAUGAGUUAUAUGGGCCCAGAUCUCCGCCAGAUGGUAGGGACCCAGUAUAUGUGACUGCAUAAACCAAAAGGUAUAUAUAUGUGCUAUAGGGGACUAAAACCUCUUGGCAUAUCAAGAUGACACGAGAACCAAAUCAUAUAAUAAGAUGUAGGGGACUCAAACCUCCCAGUCAAAUGAUAAUAAUAAAGAGAACUCAAACCACUAAGUCAUAUAGACCCUUGUGUUGGGAACUACGAUUUCCAGUAUUGGUCCUUUAAGACCUUUACUUUCAUGACUCAGCUACACAACCCUCAUUAAAUCCCAAAUAAAAUAAUUAGCACAUACAUUAUCAUUUGUUGAACAAUGAUAUACAUUCAGGCAUACAUUGUUGGUAUCUUCAUACCAACUCACUUGCAAGGUAAUAUCAAAAUGCCAGACCAAUUAUCAUCACUUGGGGAAAUUCACAACCCCCUUGGUUCAACUAUACAUAAACUUAGGGAAGUAUAGAAUCCCUUAGGGUUCAAUCAAAAAUCAUUGUACUUUAUUGACUUUUCAUAUUAUGCAAUAGUUUAAGAGUAGUUCAAUAUGCAUACUUUUUAUAUUCAAAAUCAAAUUUCACAAUAUGAUGUUGGGGUAAUAACAACUUUAAAAGUCAUAAGUUAAGGGAAUCGCAAACCCUGGUUCAUUCGCCAUUCUCAUGCAUUAAUUUUAUUUUAAAACCACCAUUUAAACGUAACCCAUGUAGGGACAAAUAUGAAACAUCACAUAAACAACAAUUGUUCAAGACCCUCUACCCAUGUUUUCAAAACCUACCUUAAUACUAUGUGAACAACACUUUAAAGCUCAUGCUUUCAGAAAAUUAAUAAUUAGGGAAGUGUAACAUGCCUGAAAUACCAAGUUUCACGAAAAGAAUUCAAUCCUUGAGCCCUUGGAUGGCCUACUUUUUAAAAACCUAAGCAUGGAUGCUUAAGAGAAUUUAAGAGAGAUUUAGGAGCGUUUGAGUACGUUAUGUAUAGAAACAACCCUUAUUAAGUUCUUUAUGAACGUGGGGUUUUAAUUGAGUAAUAAGGGAAUUUUCCAAAGUGCACUCAAUUUAAAAGCUAGAAUUUUAUCAUCAGUGACUAAGGGUCACUAUACAACUCUUAUAGACUCAUUAUGAAUGGUCACCAAAAAUCGUAGCCAAGAUAGUUCAAGGAACUCACAAUCUGUUUACCCUAUGACUCAACCUAUAUGACUCAUAAUGGGACCCUACGACUCCUAGGGUCUAUUUAUAGUAAACCUAACAACCAUUCAGGUUAUACACUAGACACCCUAAGAUUUAAACCCAAUGCCUCAUAACGAGUCCUUAUGACUCGUAGAAAGCCACUAAUACUCUGAGCAAAACUCUAUCACACACUUUCUAAAUUGGCUAUAAUUUGGUCCAAUGACUCAUUAAAGGAAUCAUAAUAAGGACAUGAAGGAUAAAAUUUUAGAAAUUUUCAAUGACCAAAACCCUGAGACAUUACAAAUUCAUAGAUAUAAAUAUAGUUAUGAACUUACAAUAAUAAAAAAACUUCAAAAUCUCAACUUUAAUUAAAACCAUAGAAACGGUGUUCAUUAAAUCUUAAGAAUAUGUCUUAGAAUCUCAGAAUAUACUGUUGUAAAAUAUAAAAGAGUGUAAACUCAUACAAAAAAUCUUGUAUGAGUAGUAUAGAUAAGCUAAACCUAUCCUAGUAGAAAUAGGAAAUUUGGGUCAAUUAACAUUGAAGAUAGAAAGGUCAGAUCAUGGUUAGAACUCACAAUCACCAUGUAGUGCUCAUGGUUUAGUUUGUGAAUUUUCAUCUUUGGGUCUUGGUUGGUACACUUAUCAAUACGAACUCAUGGUACCUAGUAAUGAUCGUGCCAAGUGCUCAUUUGAUCUAUCCUCACUUUAAGGAUCUGAAACCUUCUUAUUGGGUCCUUCUUUCUAUAGAAUCAAGGUAUGGUCGUAUGAUCAUUAAACAAUCUAGGAGGGCUCUCAUCUGAUGAGUCUUAUACUUAACUCCUAUAUAUUUAUUUUUAGGCCUUCCAUAUGACCACAUGGUAUGAUGGUAUAUUCAUGGAACGAUCAUGCAAACUCUUUGUCUGAUCAAGUCUUAUGGACCACUCUUGUGGUGGGGCUGUUGGACCUGACCAUAGUCAUACUAAAGUUAUUAUAGCAUAAAUCAUCUAAAAGUCCAAUUUUAAUCAUUUUCAUUCUCCAAGCAUAUUCAAACUAUAAUUAUGCAAAAGCUAAUCAUAUCUACAUACAAAAAUACCCUUAUUCUUGUAAAUAUUCCUCAUUGUAAGCAUCUUAGGUGUCAUAAAUCAAUGAAAAGUCAGACUAUACUAUCAAUAUAACUAAAGGUAACAUUAUAACAAAUAAUCUUAGUUGACUUUCUAUGGGUAUGAUAUCACAUUUGUCACUUAUUCAAUGUGAGGUAGCCAGAGAUGUUCAAUUAGCCAACUUUGGAGUCUGUCUUAUGCAUUCCAAAGAUGGUAACAUUAUUGUCUUCAACACGGUCAAGCCAUCACUUGUGGUACUGGUGAAAUAGAGAUUGUAUGAUGAUACCUUAUUGCUCUAAUACAAAAAAAGAACUCAACAAAUCAAGCCAUAAUAUUUGAGCUAGAAGAUGAUAAAACCUUGAGAUGUCGAGGUAGAUUAUAUGUACCUGAUCUAGAUGGAUAAAUAAAAUAUAUUAUCACAGAAGCACAUAGCUCUUGUUAUUUAAUAUAUCUCAUUUGUAUAAAGAUGUACCAUGAUCUUAAAUAUAUGUAUUGGUUAAAUGACUUAAAGAGUGAUAUAGCAGAGUAUGUGGCAUGGUGCCCUAAUUGUCAGCAAGUGAAAACAAAACAUCGAAGACACGAUAGCCUAGCUCAGACCUUUAAUAUUCAAAUGUAGAAAUAAGAUGUUAUUAGUAUAGAUUUUUUGAUAGGUUUACCUUAUUCUUAUCAACAAUAUGACUUUAUUUGGGUAAUGGUUGAUCGACUUAUGAAACAGCCAAUUUCAAUAAUCCAGUGUUGGGCUUGAACUCUAAAAGGUUAAUUUUUUAUCCUAUCUUCGAGUAUCACUAUGGAUAAGUAUUUAGGGAUAUUUAUAUAACAUCUUUGUACUAGAUCUUAAAUUCCAUUUGGUUAAUUAAAAUUCUUAAAAUAGGAGAAAAUUUAAAAAUGUGAUAAAAGUUGAAAUUUUAGAAUUCUUACUUAUUAGAAAAUUCUGAUAUUGGACUAUAUAAGUUAGAAAAAUUAUUGGAUUCACUCUAGAUGGUUGUUAAGGAACUUAACUAUUUCUUUUUUAAGUAAAUAGUAUUAGAAUAACUUGGAACAUGAACCUACCUGUUAUUGAUGGAUGUACGUGUUAUCCUUGUAGUUAGCUGGUCAUUUAUUGAAUAGAGGGAACUUGCAAUUGGAAAGAUAAAGGCUACACUAUCACAGAUUGAAUUGUUGGAGGCUCAAAAUAUUAUCAAAGAUAUUAAAGUAGUAAAUGUAUGUAUAUUUAAACCUUUCCUCACCAUUAAGUCACAUCCUUAUGUUAUGUUUUUCUUUUAUGAAUGCUAAUUAAUUCUCAUGAAAUACAAAGAUUGGAUCUUCAUUUGCCUUACAUAGCAUUCUCUUGUAUGACCAUCAAGCUUAUAAGUUUUUGUCUUACACUCUUUAUGUCAAAUCUUCACAAUAUUACAUAUUAUUGUAAAUUUCUUUACUUGAAAUUCUUUGGUAACAUGGUAUAUUUAUCAUACAUUAUGAAUGAAAUUAAAUAGCCAUAGUAUAGUUACAAUUAUAUACAUGAGAAUUUAAAAUAAGUGGUAGAUUUAGAUAGAUAUUCCACUUAAAUAAUAAAUGAUCUCUACCAUGAUUUACAUGUCAUAGGCCUUUAAGAAAUUAUUUAGUAAAUGUUAACGACAGGAAGGUACAUAGAUUUUACUUUGCAUAUCCGCUUGAUGUGAUUUUAUGCACAGGAUUGACACUAGACCAUUAGAUCGUUAUUAGAUUAAGUGCAUUUGGAGUUAGCUAGAACGUCAUAUACCUAUUCCCCAUACUCAAGUAAAUAUAUGGCAUAUAUAUUCCAUGGGAAAAUCCUCAUAGUGAAUCUAUUAAGGUAUACCUUGUAUUAGACUGUGACUGUAGUUAUACGUAUAUGUAUUUGGACUACGUAAGCCUUGUAUUUGACUCAAAUCACUUUUGACAGACCAUCUAUGAUUAUUUAUACUAUACAUAAUUUAUGUACAACACCUAGGCAAAAUAUAGGUGCUAUAUUAUAAUGAAUGCUCCCCUGGAUAUUAUAUGAUGAACUAACAAAAUUGGUGCAUAUGUUACAGCUUCAUAUCUUAUAUAUAGUACUUGUAUGCUCAUAGUAUUUUCACUUUGAUACUUGAUUCAUAUGAGCUUUUGCACUUGUUAGCUGUAUUCUGUCUGCUUUUCAUUCCAGUAAAUAUUUUAUGUGUACUAACAUCUCCAUAUUAUUGACACUAUGUUUUAUUGACGCAGGCUCAGAUCCAUAAGAUAACAGACGUUCACGAUAGGCUCUAUUGUUGUUUUGGUUGUUAUUUUGGUGAACUCCAUCUCUCUCUGUAACCAGUUUACAUCUAGUAUUUUUGGAUAAAUGUUUAUAUCUCUAAUGGAGUAUGUCGGAGCCUAUCCCAACUAGUUAUUAGUAGUAUUAUGUGUUAAACUUAUAAGAGGCUUCAUGAAUAUCACACAGUGUUGUAAAUUAUAAUUUUUGUUCAUAUAACUCCAUUGUGUGUAUAUACAUCUCAUAUUGGAUAUCCAGGUCAUUGUUAUCCUAUAAUCUCAUAUGUGUCACAGAUAGCUUAUUUAGUAUGUGUGUAUAGUUCUUGUCCGCUCCUACCAUUUUGGGGCAUGACAAUUAAUAAUAAAAUCAAUAUAAUAAUUUUUAUACUAUUUGGUUAAUCGGCUAGCGAUCUUUUAUGAUGUAGUUAUUUGAUUCAACUAAUAAGAAAAUACUCAUGUAAUUUUUUUCUUUUUUAAUAUCCUUUGUACACACGCAAUCUUCACAGCAUAAUUAUUGCCCAAAAAUAUCAUGAACUAAUAAAUAUGAUCUCAAAGAAUAAAAAGAUUGGUUAUCUAAAUAUAACAACCAAAAAGAAGUAUUUGAAUGACUAGUAAAAAGUUGUAUCUCAAAGACACAAAUUCAUAUUCUUUCCUCUAUCUUGUUAGUGUUAAUAGUGCUUAACAUUUCUAAUCAAAGUAAUGAUUUUAAAGAUUCCAACAAAAUCCUGUCUUUUUUAAUUAAAGAGAUUGCAGACAUAUCAACCACAAAGAGAUAAAUAAAUAUAAACUUGAAUGCAUUAGAAUUCUCUCAAAUAUGUCUUUACUAAAAGAUUCAAUUCAAUAUAAAAUUGUAAAAUAAAAUUGUUACUUCAGAAGUCUAACGCUUCACCUAAAAAGGAAAAAAAAUAAUUCAUGAAAUAAUAACAGAGCUUCUAUCUAAACAAAAAAGUUACUUUCAUAUAAUUAAGGAUAAAAAGAUGAUUCAAUAUAAUUUAUUGGGUUAUCAGUUUAACCAUUAACUAGAAUAUAAAAACCAAAUUAAUAAACCAAUAAAAAAUUAUAAAAUUAUUUAAAAAUUGUUUAACACAAUAACCUAAUACCAAUAACCAAUAUUAUUUUUUAACUCGAUUUAUUAGGUAAACCGAUUCAUUUUUUAGUUAAAUGGAAUUAUACUAAAGUAAAAGAGAAACAAAUGUUCACCCUAUUUCAGCCAGUCGGGAUUUAAGACUAAAAACUUUGAGUUUCUAUUUGGGAAUGAUUAUUACAAAUUUUAACCGAUCUAACAAAUUGAGUUCCUGCAAUGUCUGCCUACACUACUUUGUGAGCACACAUAGAUGGAACUUCAAAACGUUUUCUUCCUAGUUCAAUAUUAGAAUCUUCCCCCUACUUGGCCAGCACAUCAGAAACUCUAUUCUUCUCCCUAUAGUAGUGGAACACCAUCGAGUUUCCUAGACAUCAUAGCUUUAACCUAUAAUCAUCAAUAAUGUCAUUAUAUACUAAAUAACCUAAUGACAAUAUGUGUAAAACCUCAAGAGAAUCAAUGUUAAUUUCAAUAGGAUUUAUGUGGAAUUCUUCAACUAUCUCCAAACCUUCUCUAAGAGCUAGAACCUCCAUAUGAUUGUUAGUAGUCCACGGGUACCCUUGGAGAAGCCCUUUACCUAGCCAGUAGUACUAUGUCUCAUUACCCUUCAAUUCUUCAUUUACCUAGUUUUCCAAGACAAGAGCCAUCAGUAUUUAGUUUUAAGAAGUUCUCGAUGGGGGAAUGACACUAAAUAUGUAACUCCUUGUAGGUCGGGGUGGGUUUAUUUACUGAGGAUAAAUAGAGAUACUCCAUUGCCUCUGUAUAUAUCUGGUGAAAAGAGAGUUUAUCUCUUUUCUUGCUAAACAUAUUCCUAUUUCUAUUUUUCAAAUACCCUAAAGGCUAAAAACUAGAAUAGUGUGCCUACUAAAAAUAUGAUCAUAAUUGGCACUUUGUAUCUUAGACCAGGAGUUAGAUCAGUUGAUAGGGUGGAGACUGCCCAGAUUAAUAUAUAGGUGUUUCCCCCUUAUGGAAUAGGGUAGCCCAGAAAUCUUUAAUGAUGAGGCAUUCAAACAAGAUAUAAAGGAUAUCUUCAUAAUUGUAGAUACAUAAGAUGCAUCUAGGGGUGAUUGGGAUACCCCUCUUGUGAAAGAGAGAGGAAUUAGGAAGUCCAUUGUGUUGAGCAAGCCAAAGAAAAGUUUUGAAUUUAAGGAUAAAGUUUACUUUAUAAAUCCAAAGAAGGGAUUAGGGUGGAGAUCAGAGUUGGGGUAGCUCUCUUUGGAUAGGAUAGAGUAAAUGCUUUGACAGGAGAAGAGCCCAUUACCAUUAAAUCUCUAUAUCAGCUGAUAAUUAGGGAUUCUAGUAUUAGGCCUGAAGAAAUAUUUGAUAUUGACGAUCAACUCAACGGGGAAUUGAAGGGAGAGGAUAUGGAAAAUUCUAAUUAAUCCUAUCCCAAAAAUAUGCAAGGGGAAGAUUUAACUGGGAGGCAGUAAGAGGACCUUGAAUCAUACUCCUUAUGGGUUCCCAAUGAAGGAUCUAUCUAUCCAACAAGAAGUUGAUUGUGCCCCCCCUUAUGGACUACCCAUUGGGCACCCAAUUUAUAGAAUUCCCUUCCUAAAAGAAAGUUCUUUAAGAUUUUGGAGGAUAAAUAUGUAUUAGAGUAAGACUUAUGAUGGUAUUUAUCUCUAAGAAUAUUUUCCUAGCGACUGUUAUGGUUAUGGAAGUAUCUCCAAGCAAAGCUAUCAAGCAUUAUGGCAUUUCUCAGGUUUUCUUUAUUUAUUCCUAAGCCACCUUCCUUUUUUAGGAUGGGUUAGAGUGUCCCAUCUAACAAGGUGCAUCUUUCUCUUCUCCAGUGUGAAAUUCAAGAGGAGGUGAAUUGAAAAUUUUUGUGAGUCGACUGUUGAGUAUUCUCAGUCGACUUUCUUGCAAAUCAAUAAACUUCACAAAAUAUAUUAGAUUUAAAUAAAUAGACAAGUAAAUAAGUGACUUAAAAUAAUAACACAAAGAUUUAUCCUGGUUCGAAACCCCAAUGUGGUGCCUACUUUUAGUUCCCUUGGGUUUCAAAGUUCCCUUAGAUCUUUCAAGGUGGAGUUCAAGUACAAUGCUGAUGAACAAGUUUCAAAGACAUAUUUUGCUCUUCUGAUCUUAUAAAAAGCAUCAAUUUGUAUUUCAAAGUUGAAUCAAUCUUAUUCUUUGUAUAACUAUUGUAAACUAAGAGUACAAAGCUUUGUUAGACUAUGAUUGAGUCACUCUAAGAUUUGUUCUUGAAGUUACGUGAGUGUUUCAGUCAUUGGUCUUCUCUUUUAUAAUCUUCAAUUGCUUCGGCUUCUAUUCUCCAUAAGGAAACCCAAGAGAUUUUUUCUCAAUCAAGGAUGUGAAUUGAUUUGUUGAUUGAGGAAUGGCACCAUAAAGUAUAUCCAACGUGGUGCAGUGUCCACAUCCAUACAUGCCUAUAUUAGAUAUAUCUAUUUAUAGGUUAUGGUCUUCUUUCCUUUUGCUCUUAGUCUUGAUUAACUUCGUUUUCCAUAAUUUUGGGAGGCCAGUAUUCUUCGCGAUUGAUACUGUUGCAACUUUGUUUUGCUUUCUUGUCUUGAUUUAUUUGCUUGUUGUAGUACUUUGAAGCCACUAAUAUCCUUGAUUGAUAUUCUUUCAAUCUUGGAGUCGGCUUUCUUGUGAUUGAUAUUCUUCCGAUCUUAGAGCGGGCUUUCUUAUGAGUAGAUGCUUAUUUUCUUUUUGGCUUGAUUUUUCUUGAUCCUUUGUAUCUUUGGUGUAUCCUACAAGAUCUUUGUUUAUUAGUUUGUCUCUUUUAGAACAUAUAGUGAAAUAAUGGGGCUAAUAAUCUCCCCUUGUUUUAUAAUGAUAAAUAAUAAACAUCAGCUGACUUUCCGAUUAUUAAUAAAGUGUUCCCCUGUCUUACACAUACCUUCAAUGUUUUUUAUUUUCUUUGAGCAUCAGUUGACUCUUAUCUUUUGAUGGUUGACUUGAUCUCCCUGUCUUACAGGCACGAUCAGUUGACUCUCAUCCUUUGAUAGUCAACUUUCUCCCCAUGACUUGUAGGCACCUCUGAUGUUGCUUUCUCCUCUUUUUGGCAUAGUAAAAAAGAACACAACAAUAGACAGACAAAAUGGUAGACAUAGAUUAAAUAAGCAGUCUAAGUGAUUACCAAAGGAUUUAAACAAAGCAGUUGAAAGUGUAGCAAACAGUGUGUAAAAAUCAUUUUACAACCCAAAAAAUGGGAUAGGACCCCCUUCUGAAUAAAAG